rnacentral:rRNA from 1 species
UACGUAGGGGGCAAGCGUUAUCCGGAUUUACUGGGUGUAAAGGGAGCGUAGACGGUAUGGCAAGUCUGAAGUGAAAGCCCAGGGCUUAACCCUGGGACUGCUUUGGAAACUGUUAGACUGGAGUGCUGGAGAGGUAAGUGGAAUUCCUAGUGUAGCGGUGAAAUGCGUAGAUAUUAGGAGGAACACCAGUGGCGAAGGCGGCUUACUGGACAGUAACUGACGUUGAGGCUCGAAAGCGUGGGGAGCAAACAGG